rnacentral:rRNA from 1 species
CCAAUAGCGUAUAUUAAAGUUGCUGCAGUUAAAAAGCUCGUAGUUGAAUUUCGGGACUAAUAUGUCGGUCGUGCCUCGGUACGUACUGGUAUUUUUGGUUUCUCCCUUCUGACGAACCUUGAUGUCAUUAAUUUGGUGUCUUGGGGAAUCAGGACUGUUACUUUGAAAAAAUUAGAGUGUUUAAAGCAGGCUCACGCUUGAAUACAUUAGCAUGGAAUAAUGAAAUAGGACGUUUGAUUCUAUUUUGUUGGUUUCUAGGAUUGACGUAAUGAUUAAUAGGGAUAGUUGGGGGCAUUAGUAUUCAAUUGUCAGAGGUGAAAUUCUUGGAUUUAUUGAAGACUAACUACUGCGAAAGCAUUUGCCAAGGAUGUUUUCAUUAAUCAAGAACGAAAGUUAGGGGAUCGAAGACGAUCAGAUACCGUCGUAGUCUUAACCAUAAACUAUGCCGACUAGGGAUCGGAUGAUGUUAAUUUUUUAAUGACUCAUUCGGCGCCUUACG